CCCCACCCGAGCCGCGGUCUCCACGGGGCGCCCCGCAGGCCCUCGACAGGAGUGGGCCUCGCGCACCAGGUUCCCGCCCAUGCCUUGGGGCAGCCGCUUCCUGCCCGCGAGGUGGGGCCUGUGCGGUCGGGGUCCGCCUGGGGUUUCCACAGCGAGGAGCCUCCACCGCUUGCCCACCCGCACCCGCGUCCCAGAGCCGCGCCCUAGUACCUGAAGCCAGACAGACCGGUCAGCCCAAGAUGCAGAAACGUGAUCCCAGAGAGGGAAGAGACUUACGUUCCACAAGUUAAUGGCAGAGUUAAGACCAGAACCUGUGUCAUGGAACUUUCAACUCAGCGCUCUUGCGGCCAGAGCUAAAUUUAAGGAAGGAGCAGAUAAAAGAGGCAGGAACCAGACAUGCUUCUGGUGCUCCCUGACCUACCGUGUCAGGCAAUAGGCAGAACUGGUUCUGUUUUUCUAAACCUGGGCCUUUCGCUGUCACCUGAGCCAUGGUUACCCUCUGUGAUGGGCCACCCCACAUGCCCCUCCUUCCGGGUGGCUCUCCUGCCUCCUCACCUUCCUACCCCAAGGGUUCCUGUGCCUUCCUGCCCAACUCUCUGCACUGCCUCCAUGUGCACCCUGCACCUCCUUUAGGCCUUUUCAAACGCGUUCUCACCUGGCGGUCAUUCUGUCAUUUCAUGGAGCUGGGAAGCCUGGGACCCCUUAGCAGCCGGCUGAUGCCAAAGGGGAAGGUGAUUCAGCUGGAACCGUGGGGCAGGCAGGGAGCCCCUGUCAGUCCGCCCAUCCCGACUCCCCUGCAAGGGAGCCAGUUCAGAGGAAGGUCCGUUGGAGACAGCACCAAACAAAGACCUGGAGAUUUUUAAUGCACAUACAGGGUUUGCACAGGCUAGAAGGGGGCCUCAGGAGAGCCCCAGUAGGAGUGUGUCUUCAUCAGACAUCACCCGGCUGCCGCUGUCGGUCCGCUUCUCUGCAUUGGGAAUUGCAGCAUCCACACCUGCCUGCGGAGCUGGGCCUCCUGCUGCCAGGGCUACCUGGCCUGAGUUAGUGCAGAGGCGCGCCCUCUGCAGGCUGGGGCAUCUGCUUUCAGGCCCUCUCAAAAGGCCGUGGACAUCUGGAAGGAGAGGUUUGGAUUCAGAGGCUUCUGGUGGUUCGGGGCCGGGCCGGUUCUGGCUAGGGCCCUCCCCAACCCUUCUCUUGCCUUCCACCCAUCCCUGGACCCCAAGCAGCUGUGACUGCUCACAGAUCCCGGGGCUCACCUAGUAGAGCACGCCCUCAAAAUCCAGCUGCAGGUAGCGGAGCAGGCGCGGUGGCAGGGGGAGGCGGGGCAGCGCGUGGGGCAGGCUGCCCUCCAGGUGGGAGCGGAGCGCACAGCGGCUCAAAUGCUGCAGCGACCUGGGCUGCCUCACCAAGGCGAAGAGGGAGGAGUAGAAACGCUGAUGUUUCUGGGGGCAGAACAAGGGGCUCAGUGAGGGGCAGCCUCAGACAGGUAGCACCGGCCCCUCCUCACAGGGUAGGCUGGUGAGGGGUGGGGCAUCUACCGGAAGGAACCUAUUAGAAACAAUGAAUGUUUGAGUGUUCA